CAAAGAUUUAAGAGUAGUCUUACAUUCUGGUAAAUGGUUUCCCCAUAGUCAAAAAAAGGCAUGGAAUGUAUUGUACAAUCUGGUUCCUGCUAUUUAGGGACAGGCCAGAUCUAGUUCUAAAAAAGAAGCCCACACAGAAGCCCACUUUAAAGCUUAGCUUUUUAACUAGCUCAUCCAUGUACUUUAAAUCUUAGUCAAUCCAAAAGCCCAGAUAUUUAUAGGAGGGAACCCGAUCAAUGGGAGAACCAUCCAAUAACUAAAUAUAUAUGUGGUCCAUCUGAAACAUUUGUGUGAGAGUUAGAGAACCACAUACACUGAGUAUGCAAACUUAAGAACACCUGCUCUUUCUAUGACAUAGACUGAAUAGAUGAACCCAGGUGAAAGCUAUGAUCCCUUGUUAUCACUUAUUAAAUCCACUUCAAUCAGUGUAGAUGAAGAGGAGACAGGUUCAUUUUAAGCCUCGAGACAUUUUUUAAAUUUUAUUUCACCAGGUAGGCCAGUUGAGAACAAGUUCUCAUUUACAACUGGGACCUGGCCAAGAUAAAGCAAAGCAGCGUGACAAAAAAAAACAGUUACACAUGGGAUAAACAAAUGUACAGUCAAUAACACAAUAGAAAAACCUAUAUACAGCAUGUGCAAAUGAGUUAGGAUAAGAGAGGUAAGGCAAUAAAUAGGCCAUAGUGGUGAAAUAAUUACAAUCGAGCAAUUAAACACUGGAGUGAUAGAUGUUCAGAAGAUGAAUGUGCAAGUAGAGAUACUGGGUGCAAAGGAGCAAAAAAAAAAAAAAAAAAAAAAAAAAAAAAAAAAAAAAAUAUGGGGAUGAUGUAGUUGGGUGGGCUAUUUACAGAUGGGCUGUGUACAGGUGCAAUGAUCAGUAAGCUGCUCUGACAGCUAAUGCUUAAAGCUAGAGAGGGAGAUAUAAGACUGAAGCUUCAGAGAAUUUGCAAUUUGUUCCAGUCAUUGGCAGCAGAGAACUGGAAGAAAAGGCGGCCAAAGGAGGCUUCGGGGAUGACCAGUAAAAUAAACCUGCUGGAGCGCGUGCUACGGGUGUGUGCUGCUAUGGUGACCAGUGAGCUGAGAUAAGGUGGAUACCUAACAAAAGACUUAUAGAUGACCUGGAGACAGUGGGUUUGGCGACAAAUAUGUAGUGAGGGCCAGCUAACGAGAGCAUACAGGUCGCAGUGGUGGGUAGUAUAUGGGGUGUUGGUGACAAAACAGAUGGCACUAU
ensembl:lncRNA